AACGUACGCUGGCGGCACGCCUAACACAUGCAAGUCGAACGAAGUAGCAAUACUUAGUGGCAGACGGGUGAGUAACAUGUAGGUAUCUACCCUUUGGCCUGGAAUAACACGAGGAAACUUGUGCUAAUACCGGAUAAGUCUUUACGGAGAAAGCUUUAUGCACCAUUGGAUGAGCCUGCACUUGAUUAGUUUGUUGGUGGGGUAAUGGCCUACCAAGACUGUGAUCAAUAGCUGAUUUGAGAGGAUGAUCAGCCACAUUGGGACUGAGACACGGCCCAAACUCCUACGGGAGGCAGCAGUGGGGAAUCUUGCACAAUGGAGGAAACUCUGAUGCAGCGAUGCCGCGUGAGUGAAGAAGGCCCUUGGGUUGUAAAGCUCUUUCGUCGGGGAAGAAAAUGACUGUACCCGAAUAAGAAGGUCCGGCUAACUUCGUGCCAGCAGCCGCGGUAAUACGAAGGGACCUAGCGUAGUUCGGAAUUACUGGGCUUAAAGAGUUCGUAGGUGGUUGAAAAAGUUAGUGGUGAAAUCCCAGAGCUUAACUCUGGAACUGCCAUUAAAACUUUUCAGCUAGAGUAUGAUAGAGGAAAGCAGAAUUUCUAGUGUAGAGGUGAAAUUCGUAGAUAUUAGAAAGAAUACCAAUUGCGAAGGCAGCUUUCUGGAUCAUUACUGACACUGAGGAACGAAAGCAUGGGUAGCGAAGAGGAUUAGAUACCCUCGUAGUCCAUGCCGUAAAGAUGUGUGUUAGACGUUGGAAAUUUAUUUUCAGUGUCGCAGGGAAACCGAUAAACACACCGCCUGGGGAGUACGACCGCAAGGUUAAAACUCAAAUGAAUUUGACGGGGGACCCGCACAAGUAGUGGAGCAUGUGGUUAAUUUCGAAGAUACGCGCAGAACCUUACCAACACUUGACAUGUUCGUCGCGACUCUAAGAGAUUAGAGUUUUCGGUUCGGCCGGACGAAACACAGGUGCUGCAUGGCUGUCGUCAGCUCGUGUCGUGAGAUGUUGGGUUAAGUCCCGCAACGAGCGCAACCCUCACUUUUAGUUGCCAUCAUUAAGUUGGGCACUCUGAAAGAACUGCCAGUGAUAAGCUGGAGGAAGGUGGGGAUGACGUCAAGUCCUCAUGGCCCUUACGUGUUGGGCUACACACGUGCUACAAUGGUAUCUACAACAGGAAGCAAGACUGCGAAGUUAAGCAAAUCCCUAAAAGAUACCUCAGUUCGGAUUGCACUCUGCAACUCGAGUGCAUGAAGCUGGAAUUACUAGUAAUCGUGGAUCAGCGUGCCACGGUGAAUGCGUUCCCGGGUCU
rnacentral:rRNA from 1 species